UGCAUUUCCGGUCUGGCAUUUUUGGAUGUGUUUGAGUGCUGAAGCCUAGUGUGACCGCCCCAUGACUCUGGUGAGGAAUUGGAGGGGUUUUUUUGGAGGAAGACAGCAUGGAUUGAGCUGAGGAGGAUUCCAGCAUGGAGUGGACACGAUCCUUGAAAAAAAAGAAGAAAAUGCUCCUGAUCACACUUCUUCUGAGGCCUUCUUCCACCCACAUGGAGGUUUCCACUGUAAAACUGACAGCUCCACCUACCCCCAGAGAAGUCAGAGAAGAGGGGUCAUUCAUGUGUCACUCAUUUGAGCCAUUAGGAGAACCAGUGCUGCUGCACUUACAACACAACCUGAACAGAACAGGUGGCACAAUAUUAACAAGGAUGAUGUGCUUCCCGUACAACAUCACUUUUUCCUUCCCACACUCCUGGGUUACAGCUUGAUAGCCACCAGCAGCACACUUCUCUAGCUGUUCUAGUUAUUUUGUAAAGCCACAGUCUCUGCAACAACACAAACCUGUAUGCUGAGUAAAAGCAGAAGGGCAUGUAGACACCAUGGAGUCCUGUAAAUAGCGUGAAGAUAUGCAAAUCCUGGGCCUAGACAUUUACUGUGACCUAAUAAAGCUAUGAAGAGUGUGAGAUUUGUGGAGAAAGAAUACUCUACAUAACUUUCCAUUCCCAAACUGUGUCAAGCAUUCUACAGAUUUGAGGCAAUAUUGUGGAUCAUGUACAAGAGCAAUGUCAAAGACGAUGCGCAGACUGACCAGCUGAAGGCACCACUGGCUAUGAUUGGCUCUUUUAUGUGGAGCUCACCAAGAAGCAGCUCUUAUUGACAUACAGGGUAUACUACCAGCCUCACCAGAACCUGGUCUCCAAUGAAAGAAUGGUAGCCACAAGGUCUAGAAAUGUGGAUUUUGGGAGUUAUGAAGCCAUAAGUUAUCUUAUGGUAGCGUAUCUGAGCCAGUGGGGGCUGAAGCUGUCAGUAACGUGUCACAGGUGGCAGAGAAGAGACCAUGCUAUCCAGUGACAGUUGUAAACACCUCAACCUCUGCUAAGAGAGACAAAGCCUCAGCUGGGAGAAAACAUUGUGUACUGCCUUCAAAGGAAGAAGUACAGCAAGAUUAUUUACAAAUGCAGGUCUUGUGAUGUGUUCCUGUGUACUAUAGUGGACCAUUUUUGUUUCACUGAGUUGGGAUUAUGUUAAGGGCAGCCAAGGUCAUUGAUGCGCAGUAGACUCUGACUCUUUUUUUUUUUUUUUUUCUGUUUUUUUGCACGUUUGUUCAUGUUUUGCAUAUAGUUUAUAUUUUGCACUUUCAUAUUUGUUGUAAAUAGUUAUUUUUGCCUCCUAAAAUCCAAUCCCAUGUCCAGGAGGUGGAAACAGCCUAUAUUACAUAUGUGACAGUGCUAACAGGGCUCUGGUGGUUAAAUGAGGGUGAGUAAGUUUCAAACUUUAUAUUUGUGAAAUUGUACAUUUUGUACCUAAGAGUUUCAUGCUUUGAAUUUUGUGCCAUUUGGAUAUAUAUUUUGUGUAUUUUGUUGCUAGUUUGUGCCAUCUUGACAUUUGGAUGAUUUCUUAACAUCCUGCAUCCUAUGCUUUCACUUUACUUAAAGCCACCAAUGAUGCAUUUAUAAUGGUUAGUAAAUGUAGUAUAACUCACAAUAAGUAUUUAUAAGGCAGCACAACUAUCAACAACAAUAUAAAAUAAUUCAAUAACUGGACUUAGAAAUAAAUCUGCAUUAUAAAUAAGUCAUUAUAACUAUAAUAUAAUAACAUCAUAAAAAUGCAGGCUGCAUUUUUAUGAAUACAUUAAUGGAACCAUAAGACUGACUAAUUAAUACUUUAGUAAAUUGGUGUAUAAUGCAUUAUGAGCAUGGGCACUGAAAAAACAAGUGUAUCACUUAUAAGUAAUUACAACAAUAAUAUAAUUGUAGCUAUAACUGUUAUUAUAACGAUGUAUAGGGCUUUAUGCAUCUUUAUAAAUGUGUUUAUAAAGCAGUAAUACUUGCUUACAAAUAGUUAUAAAUGGGGCUAUAAUUCAUUACAAGCAUGGGCUUCAUAGAAAGUGUUACCAAUUUUUUACUAAUUACCCAUUAACAAGGUCAGGAAUGCUGCAAAACUGAAGUAAACCUAAUGAGUUAUGGGCUGUAACUAAGCUCAUUAUAAAUUGAAAUAAAUUAUAUAUACACUACA